AUUAAUAACAAGAGGUCGUGAACCUCAAUAAUUAAU
rnacentral:ncRNA from 1 species